rnacentral:misc_RNA from 1 species
UGUAGGAGUGAGCCUGCUCGCGAUAGCGGUGUAUCAGUCGACAUUACUAUUGACUGAUACACCGCUAUCGCGAGCAGGCUCACUCCUACA